AGGUAUCCUAGGAUUUAAGUUCAGGUGAGUAUCAGUGGAGAAUUAUGAUAGAAAAACUAUCAGAGUCUUGGUUUAUAAUCAUAUGAGAUUGUAACAGAAAUGAUAUUGUAAUCUAAGAUUUAAGACCACUAGGGACUGUGGCCUUAAUGGCAUUAGAGUUUGACGUUUAAGACCAUUGGGGAUAGUGACAAAAUUGGAAUUUGAGCAUAUGUUUAAGAUCACUAGGGAUCGUGACAGAAAUAUAUCAUAGCUUAAUGUUAUGAUCACUUUGGACAUGACAAUUAAAUUCAGUGCUUAAGCUGUAAGAUCACUUGGCAUUGUGAUAAAAUGUAUGCAUCGGUUUGGUUUUCGAUGCAUACGGAAGGAAGUAUAAAUUGUCUUUGAUUAUGAUAAGAGAGGUUUGACCUAAGAUAAGUGUAGAUCAACAAUGGCAUAUCAAGUAUACCAUGUUCAGAUAUUAUUUAAAUGAUUUGAAAGUUCAAAUUUGAUGUGGGUUUUGAUGUGAUCAUACAUUUGGUUUUGCUGCUAAUUAUUAGAGUGGGAUUUGUACGUUGAUUUAGUAUUGGAGUAAGCUAAGGAGAUUUCAUAAUAUUGAAAGGAACGUUCUUCGAAGUUGAAAAUGUAUGUGGAUUAUAUCUGGUGUUGGCAUGUUGGAUAUUGCAAAUAGGUCUAUUUCCUAUGGAUGUAUUUGAUUAUUUUGAGGCCAUAGAGUAUGCAUAUUGAUGGGAGAAUUCUAAUUAUUUGAAUUCUCAUGUUUGGAUUGGGCUACUGGAUUUUACUUAUAAUUGUGGAAGACUAUUUGAUGUGUUAAUUUAAAAAAAAACUCAAGCCUAGGUUUAAGAUUUGAGCAGGGAUCUUUUGUCGUUGUUGAUGAAGCCACUAAUAAAUGUCAUAUUGAGUAAAGACUUCGGUCAUAAGAUGCUUACAUGAAUUAUCAUAUAUGGCAUUGUUGAUGGAUGUUAAGAAUCUUGGUGAAGGAAGAUCAGGAGAUCGAUAGAGUUAAUUUCUAAUCAUAGUGUAUUGGCUCAAUGA
rnacentral:lncRNA from 1 species